GCACCCAUCUACACUUCCUUAGCAUUAGCGCUCCCUACAAUAUUUCUCAACAGAGGAUCUGAACCCAAAGGUCAACGAAGAAGGCGCCGCUAAAACUUCAAGCUAGCGCUAAGCCACUAACUUUGUUUUCUGGGACUUUAGCCAGCCCAUUUAGGCAGCCUGUGAGAGCGUUAGAGGUGAGGAGAACAAAGAGAGAACCUGAUGUGUUUCUGUCGUCUCACUGUCCACCCAUAUGGCAGGUAUUGGAGGAGUCGCUCGCUGGUGUUUGUCUGCCGACAUAGAGCGUCCACCGGCAGGCACCACUUGGCAGAGGCUCUAUGGGGACGGCUACGUACAAAACCUGGUGGAUUUGUUGUUCAGCAGCAUCGUGGGAACCAUAUCAGGAGCUGUUACAGAAGGCUGAGGCAGUGGCCAGACACCAGUCCUGCAUCAGGGAGCUGGGUCAGAUAUACUGUAGAAGCUCCUUCAUGACCAGUAUCUGUGAUUAGAGGGGCAUGGAACUGGUCUAUGCUUCCAUGCCCAUCAGGCAUUGGCCAACACCUCAGAAGGGACAAAAGAUGCAGGACAGAAGAGAUGCUUUUGAAAUGGAGUCCAAUGACUGAAAUACUUCAUACUGGUUCAUACUGAUGUCUGAAUUGGGAAAGACAUUGAACUCAGCAUUAAAAUAAUACAAGACACAUCUUUA